rnacentral:rRNA from 1 species
GAUGGACGCUAGCGGGAGGCUUAGCACAUGCAAGUCGAGGGGCAUCACGAGGUAGCAAUACUUUGGUGGCGACCGGCGCACGGGUGAGUAACGCGUAUGCAACCUACCCUGUACAGGGGGAUAGCCCGGAGAAAUUCGGAUUAAUACCCCAUAAUGAUAUUUUAUGGCAUCAUAAAAUAUUUAAAGCUCAGGCGGUACGGGAUGGGCAUGCGUAACAUUAGCUAGUUGGUAGGGUAAUGGCCUACCAAGGCGACGAUGUUUAGGGGUCCUGAGAGGGUGAUCCCCCACACUGGUACUGAGACACGGACCAGACUCCUACGGGAGGCAGCAGUGAGGAAUAUUGGUCAAUGGGCGCGAGCCUGAACCAGCCAUCCCGCGUGGAGGAAGACUGCCCUAUGGGUUGUAAACUUCUUUUCCAGGGGAAUAAAAUCUCGAACGAGUUCGGGACUGAAGGUACCCUGGGAAUAAGCAUCGGCUAACUCCGUGCCAGCAGCCGCAGUAA